ACGAAGCGCCGUGACACGAACACAACAUACACAAAUAUGGACACCUGUUAAACAGCAGCAUGUAACAAGAGUGAUGACGUGACAGCGGUGUUCAAGCUGAUCGUUCUCUGCAGAAAUUUCAACGCGAAAUUAUAAAUGAGGUUGAGGUCAAUGCACUCGUAAACAUCGAGAAUUCUAAGAACAGAACAGUCUUCUAUUCAGGCUGCCGUUCGCUUGCGAACAGGCGUGGGUGCACACUGUCAUCAAGGAUAUCAACUUCAUUCGUUCUCUGAUAUACUGUUCUUGAUCCUUCUCCGCGCCGGGAACUUUUGUUCAAAAGUACGAUGACCUCUGCGUGCAUUGCUUAAUCAAUGAAGCAUGAUCAAGCAUUAUAAAGAACCCAUACAUAAGCGACACUUAUGUAUAAAUGUGUCGGUCACGACUGUAUAUAGAGUGCCCAUUAAAAGAUCGUUAGACAAUUAGGCUGCUGAGCUUAUUACAAAUCAUAAAAUAACGAUUAUAUAAAGUUGAAAAUUUAAACUGAAUCUCCUUGAAUAACUAAAGUUAAAAUAUAUAACUACACUUGUAUAGAUUAUUUUUUACAAUGGGCAAUUUUACAAUUGCAAAGAUUCACAAGUAAAUAUUUUUAAUUAAAUGAUUCCUGAAAAAUAAUUUAAAAAAUUUCAUUUAAAAAAUAAGAAUUAUAUUAGACAUAGAAGACCAAGAGAAUAUAACAACACAUAUAUAAAUAAUUUCAAGGCACAUUAUGAUCUGGAAUCACAAAACCUAACAGUUUUUUCUCAGAUUCAACAUGUAAGUCUUGAUUUUUCCAAAGCUCUGAGCAUCCAACGUAACAAAAUAUGUCUAAUUUAUUUACAUUUAUGUUUAUUUUAUUCUAAGGAAUUUUAAUUAAUUUUACAUAUGUUUUUUGUUGUUUUCAUUUCUUUUAUAUUCAAAUAUCUCAAGAGAAUACAAACCGAAGCUAGACUUAUAUUUUAAGAGAUGUACACAUUGAUAGCUGAUAUCUUCUUGUGCACCUCAUAAUAUCAAUGAAAACUAUAAUAAUUCUUACUCAAGUACAAUACAUCAUAUGAUACAUUAUCGCAAUAUGAUAAAAAAUGAGUGUGUGAGUGACAUUGUAUCCUGCACAGUAUGUAAGAUAAUAAAGUUAUCGAAGUGUGAUUGCAAACUAUUAGUCAGUUCUGUAUAUUACAAUCAUACAUUUUGCAACUCGUCUCGACAUAUAGAAAUAUCAAGUCUAAA